ACGGCUGUUUUCCCGCUGCCGCAACAUGUGACAGCAGAUCAGAGCUGAAACAGUGGGAUACAGUUAAAGCAAAGACGCUGUCAGGAGGUCGCCUCAGAAAAGAACUGUGGAAUAACUGCAUCUUCAUGUGGCGUAAUAGCCCUACGUUAGCAUCUGAUCAGCAAAUCAACACGACAGCUGCUCCUCCCUUUAAAACUGAUUUUUGAAGAUUAUUCAACAUUUUACACAACUGGCUCGAUGACAACAUUCAGGCUACUUGAAAAGACAAACCUGAUGGAUAAAUCUUCAGCAGCAAAACAGUUUCGCCACUUGAUGGCAGUAAAAACAGCUGAAGGACAACACUGACGCACUGAAGUAUUUCUGCCCCAUGUUGACGGCAUCACAUCAUUUCAUUAUAUUUGAUUUUCUCACUGGUUGGAUUUGUUCAAAGUAACUGUGGAGGCCACUAACAUGAACCCAUUAUUGUCACGGAGCCAGUUUGAAAAGACUUUCGCUGUGGGAUGAUUUACAGCAGCCAUUAGAAGACGCUCCACCACAUCGCAAAGGAACACUGCCUUUCAAAGGCUGCCUGAGGAUUCAAGCUCGUUAGCGAUUCCAUCCAAUACAGGCCAUUCUGAUAAGCCAAGGGUUAACAGGCAUUGGAUAAAUUGGGCUUUUAACAAAAACUGUGUAAAGUUUCUUGCAUUGACUAAAAGUAACACUGGUGCCGUCGCGUCCAUCUGUGCGGUUUGCAGCCUAAACAAUCAAGAGACAAGCAACUCAAGUUCAAGAUCCAAACAUGUGAGAAGGCAAACGCCUGAUCAUAAGCUACAGCUGCUGAUCAGGAAAGUGCCCCAAGCUUCAUUUAUAUGGGCUGAACCUUAAAGUCAUGACUGGUCGCAGCAACAAUAUUCUCAGACUUCUGCAGCGAAAUUCACUUUACAGCGAGAUGCCACUUCCUGUGAAACAGCAGUACGAACUGCAAAAGUGGUAAAUUUAAAACCCCUCACAUCCACCUUUUGGUUCGUUUACAACACAGCUUUACUUCCCUCCAGACACAGGCGACUUUAUAUCCAUGAGCAGCGUAUGACAGCUCCAGUAACAAUGCUGCCGGUUACGAUACAUCAAUCAGUGAAAGCAUGAUGAGUAAUGUUUAUGUUGUACAGAUGAAAUGAAAAGUAAUAAAAAAAAAUCUCUUUUAGCUUUUAUUGUCUAUUUUUAUGCAGUGACUCAAAGCAAAACUUUCAUCAUUUCUGCUCUCUGGCACAACAACAAAGGAAAGAAAAAUACUUAAGGUUAUUGAUGAGCUGAUCUGUCAAACUAGCAACUGUCUGCUCCAACGAGAUCAUUUUAUUUUGUAGUAUUGACAAGUCACUUACCUGGAUCUGUUUUAACAUAUAUACACACA